rnacentral:rRNA from 1 species
AUGGUUAACACCAUGUUAGACACAUCGGGUCUUUCCAAGGAAUGGUGGGGGGAGGCGCUAAUGACUGCAUGUCAUGUCCUAAACCGAGUUCCCACAAAGCGUAAGACCAUGACUCCAUUUGAGGAAUGGGGAAAGAAAAGAUUGAAACUCUCUUACCAACGUACUUGGGGUUGUUUGGCGAAAGUCAAUAUACCAAUUCCCAAGAAGCGCAAGCUUGGACCAAAAACCGUGGAUUGUGUUCUUGUCGGCUAUGCUUUUCAUAGAAUUGGCUAUAGAUUUUUGAUAAUAAAAUCAGAGGUAUCCGACAUUCAUGUUGGUACGAUCAUGGAGUCGAAUUAUGCAACUUUCUUUCAGGACAUAUUUCCUAUGAAGGUUAUGUCGAGUUCAUCAAAUCAGGAGAUACCUACUCCAUCUAGUGAGGAAUUCGCUGUAAUUCCUGAACCCACCAUUGCGAUGGAACACGACUAUUUCAGAAGCCUAUGCAUCUCCAGAUGCUGA